UACGGAGGGAGCUAGCGUUGUUCGGAAUUACUGGGCGUAAAGCGCGCGUAGGCGGCUUUGUAAGUUAGAGGUGAAAGCCCGGGGCUCAACCCCGGAACUGCCUUUAAGACUGCAUCGCUUGAAUCCAGGAGAGGUGAGUGGAAUUCCGAGUGUAGAGGUGAAAUUCGUAGAUAUUCGGAAGAACACCAGUGGCGAAGGCGGCUCACUGGACUGGUAUUGACGCUGAGGUGCGAAAGCGUGGGGAGCAAACGGG
rnacentral:rRNA from 1 species